rnacentral:rRNA from 1 species
GGGUAGGUCCCGUAACGAGCGCACCCUUGUCCUUAGUUACCAGCACGUAAUGGUGGGCACUCUAAGGAGACUGCCGGUGACAAACCGGAGGAAGGUGGGGAUGACGUCAAGUCAUCAUGGCCCUUACGGCCUGGGCUACACACGUGCUACAAUGGUCGGUACAAAGGGUUGCCAAGCCGCGAGGUGGAGCUAAUCCCAUAAAACCGAUCGUAGUCCGGAUCGCAGUCUGCAACUCGACUGCGUGAAGUCGGAAUCGCUAGUAAUCGCGAAUCAAAAUGUCGCGGUGAAUACGUUCCCGGGCCUUGUACACACCGCCCGU